AGUAUGUUUUAUGAUGCACAACUUUUUUCCCCGUCAUAUCGACCAUGGUGACUAGUCAAUGAAACUAAGCCAGUUUUGUCUGAAAUCAUACU
rnacentral:snoRNA from 1 species